rnacentral:rRNA from 1 species
CCAUGCUAAGGCGCUUGAGAGAACUGUGUUGAAGGAACUAGGCAAAUUGCCCUCGUAACUUCGGAAGAAGAGGGCCCGGUCUCUACGCAAGUAUUGGCCGGGGGCACAUAGCAGGGGGUGGCGACUGUUUACUAAAAACACAGGGCGCUGCGAAAUCCAAAGAUGACGUAUAGCGUCUGACGCCUGCCCGGUGCUGGAAGGUUAAGAGGAGAUGUGAAAGCGUUGAAUCGAAGCCCCAGUAAACGGCGGCCGUAACAAUAACGGUCCUAAGGUAGCGAAAUUCCUUGUCGGGUAAGUUCCGACCUGCACGAAAGGCGUAACGACUUCCCCACUGUCUCCAACACAGGCUCAGCGAAAUUGAAUUCCCCGUGAAGAUGCGGGGUUCCCGCGGUCAGACGGAAAGACCCCGUGCACCUUUACUGCAACUUUACACUGGCAUUAGGAAUGGAAUGUGUAGGAUAGGUGGUAGGCAUUGAAGCAGAGGCGCUAGCCUUUGUGGAGCCGUCCUUGAAAUACCACCCUUUUUGUUCCUGAUGUCUAACCGCGACCCGUCACCGGGUCCGAGACAGUGUAUGGUAGGCAGUUUGACUGGGGCGGUCGCCUCCCAAAGAGUAACGGAGGCGCGCGAUGGUAGGCUCAAUCCGGUCGGAAAUCGGAUGUUGAGUGCAAUGGCAAAAGCCUGCCUGACUGCAAGGUCGACGGACCAAGCAGAGACGAAAGUCGGUCAUAGUGAUCCGGUGAUCCCGAGUGGAAGGGUCAUCGCUCAACGGAUAAAAGGUACGCCGGGGAUAACAGGCUGAUCGCACCCAAGCGUCCAUAGCGACGGUGCGGUUUGGCACCUCGAUGUCGGCUCAUCACAUCCUGGGGCUGUAGCCGGUCCCAAGGGUAUGGCUGUUCGCCAUUUAAAGUGGUACGUGAGCUGGGUUUAGAACGUCGUGAGACAGUUCGGUCCCUAUCUGCCGUGGGUGUUCGAAACUUGAGAGGACUUUUUCCUAGUACGAGAGGACCGGAAAGAACGUAUCUCUGGUGGAUCGGUUGUCACGCCAGUGGCAUAGCCGAGUAGCUAAAUACGGACAAGAUAACCGCUGAAAGCAUCUAAGCGGGAAACUUACCUCAAAACCAGGUUUCGCUUGAGAGCCGGGGAAGACUACCCCGUCGAUAGGCCAGGUGUGAAAGCGCGGCAACGCGUUGAGCUUACUGGUACUAAUCGCUCC